UGUACCAAUAGUUUUUCUUGUUAUCACUGUGGAGUCCUUAUAGAGGAACAUGCCUGCAUUCUUGAAAUUAAUUCAUUUCUUUUUUACUCAGUGUCAGUGUAUAUACUGUUUGUCAUUUAAUAAAGGUGAAUUAGACCAGAGGAGCCAUUUUGUCGCCUCCUAACAUCACUGAAGCUGAGUUUACAGUCCGAUGGAGAAGCCAUGGGAGCAAGGAUUCACAGAGCACGUGGUACCAGUCCCCAUGCAGAAAAUCAAGGCAAAGGACACUCUGACAACUGCAACUUUAAAUAAAGUAAAAAACACAGAGAUUCUGCUAAAACAAAUUCAAGAAUACAGUCUUUGAUAACUAUGUGCUCUUGGAGAAAGCACCAAGAUCAAAUCAGUGAGAUAAAGGAUAUUGAAGCAUAAGAAAAAAAUACCAUAGCCAUAAAGCAAGCUUCCAGGCAGACUUGACCUUCACAGAUGUAUGCUGAACCUCCUGCUGGUUGCUGGACACAUUAGAAAUGACCCUCAGCUGACUUCACAACAGCCAUCAGAUAGUGCUGAUGUUCUUGUGUUACAGUUUAACUAGUGACCUGAAGAGUACCACACCAUCAAAUACAAGAUCUCACCAGAGCUAUGAGGAAUUUCUUCCAGUAAUUCCUCCAGAAAUGGAAGUAGUGGUUCAGGAUCUCAUGACCUACAUUGUGAACUUAACUCAUAUUGUUUCUGAAAGCAGUUUGUUUGUAGAAAUUGUUUUUGUAUUUACUAUUCCAAACAAAGGAAAUUCUUUGUUGUUUUCUUUCACUGGAACAUUU